ACAUAUGUAAGUUCAUAAUUGUUUUUCAUUGUACUUUCACGGAAACGUACGAACGUGUCUUGCUAUUUCAGUGAGUCUCAGUACAAAAAGUACUGAGGUUGACUGAAGUAGCAUGACAAAUUUGAACGUUUCCGAGAAAAUACGACGGAAAACAAUUAUGCCCUACAUGUGUACGAUGUAAUCGUCGAAUCAGUAAAUUGACUGUUUGUAACCCCUAUUACAACGAGAUAGGGGGAACCAAUGGUCAGAUAACUGUAUUGCUUAUUACAGUGCACGAAUGAUACGUAAAUAUGGUGCUCGCGGCGCAUUCGCCAUUUAUGACAGACCAUUAAAAAUACGUGUUUGUACAAAAAACACAAAAAUAAAUUCAAAAUAUUACCUACCGUCACAUUUAAAUUUAUCUUUGUGUAUUAUACCAAAAAAACGUGUACUUACUCAAGUGAUGAAUGUAAUUUGGUACCUAUGUAUAUGAAAUAAGAGUUUCAAAGUCCAGUGUGGCGGGUCGCAGCGUCCCGUAGUAGCUAGAACACUAUUCAAUUGCCUCGGUCCGGGCGAGGUCGAUCAAAUCUAUAUCGAGAUAUCAAAGUGCCGUAUUUGCGCAGUUCUCGGCUAUGCCUUUUUGAACAAAAUUAAAUAUGACUCUCAAAAACGCUACAGCUUUAUGUUGAUCUCGUGGGUUUUUCUUUGUACAUUUAGACGGUGAUAACUUUUUAUAGGUCAACAAAAACAUUCUUGUCGAUAUACGUAAAACUAAAACACAUACCUAUACAGUAAUAUAAAUUACUGUUUAGAAGAAAUAAAUGAAGGUUAUAGAAGAAAAUUUAUACCCGGGUAACCUUAAGGUUAACCCGUGUACCCCGGUCCAGUUGCAAUAUGGAUUGUGAGCCACAAAUAAAUGUCGAGAACUGCCGUUAGCCCGCGACCGAAGCUCCUAUCAUUAAAUCAUUAUCGUAACUCUUCCUAGAUUAAGUAAAACAUACAUUUUAAUAGUUAUACGACGUCAUUAGAACUUUUAUCAUAGGCGAAACGUGAGUAGAUUUUUAUUUUAUAAUUUUGUUGCGGUAUAUUUUAGUAGGUAUUGUUAUUUAGUAUUUUAUUUCUGCAGUAGGUGUCGGUCGAGUCGCACGGGCCGCCAGUAGGGCGGCUUGUUACAAACUAUAGUCAGGUGUUAGCGUAGCGAGCGGAGCGGCCGCGAUGAUAGCUCAUACAAUAUUAUGUGACGAUAUAUACGCUUAAUAUAAACAACGGGUGAUAUAAUGUGUCGGUUUCAAGUAAAAAGUCCUAUAGUCAGAGUAACGUAAGGCUUGAUUGUCGACAGUUAUGAAUUUACCCUUGCAUAGGUAAAUAAAAGAAGCUUUGGCUAUCAGUUAAAUGGUAGGUGUUAGUUUCAUAUAUAUAAGGGUCAAUACAUAAGUAAAAAUAAUUCUUACGUAACUUCGAUUAUAAAUUGUCGGUAUUUAGUAGUAUUGCUUACAGGCAUAAAGAUUGCAUACUAAAAAUCCAUAUUAAACCCGACAAUAUAGUAUCUUUUUCUUGAAAUAGUCACUUAUAAGCCCAAAUAAAAACCUUGUAUUUUCAGAGUUUCGGUGUUGUCUUGUAGCCUUUAUAUAAUCAUAUUAUAUUAACGCCUAGUAAUAUUGAAUGGGAAUAUAUCUGUGUACACGGGUAGACGGUAAUAAGACAGUUAGCUGCACGAUAACAGCAUAUAAUCUUUUCGACACGAUAUUUGUUAUAGAGUAGUAGGUGUACCCGUGUACCCGCCGGGUGGAUACCCGGGGUUUUCAAAAAAGGUGUACCACUUACUUUUAUUCGCAUUACUAACAGCUUUUGAGUAAUUUUGAUCACAACUAGUGAUUUAUUUCAUUGAUUUUGAAGACAAGAAAAAAAAGUGAUCCAAUUUUUCAUACAAAAAUUUUGGUGUCAGUUUUGUGACGGUCCAUUCAAAAUGUAUGUGAAAAUUCGUCACAAAACGGUCAUUGUUUUCGGACACGUUUUUUCCUUUAUAAAUCGAUAGUCCUUGUGAUUCUGACUCAGAAUUUCGGACUAUCGACUCUGAGUAGAAAUAACUCAAAAGUUGAUGGUAUUUCACAAAAUAAAUGGUACACUUUCUCACCCGUAUCGUGGCCGUCCGCUCAGUAUUUACUUCUACUAUACUGAUCUUAUCGCCUUAUCCGAAUUUUAUACAAUUAACUGUAACUUUUUAAUGUUAGCUUGUUCUAGUGUCCUAUUUACUACUGUAAUAUAAGGAUGCGGUCGUUUGUA